rnacentral:rRNA from 1 species
GACGAACGCUGGCGGCGUGCUUAACACAUGCAAGUGGAGCGACGAACCAGGGCUUGCCCUGGGGCAGAGCCGCGAACGGGUGAGUAACACGUGGGUUACCUACCCCGAUGACCGGGACAACCCGAGGAAACUCGGGCUAAUACCGGAUGUGGUCUUCGGACGAAAGGAAGCUUCGGCCUCCGCAUCGGGAUGGGCCCGCGGCGCAUUAGCUUGUUGGUGGGGUAACGGCCUACCAAGGCGACGAUGCGUAGCNGGUCUGAGAGGACGAUCAGCCACACUGGACUGAGACACGGCCCAGACUCCUACGGGAGGCAGCAGUGGGGAAUCUUGCGCAAUGCGCGAAAGCGUGACGCAGCAACGCCGCGGUGGGGAAG